rnacentral:rRNA from 1 species
GACGAACGCUGGCGGCGUGCUUAACACAUGCAAGUCGAACGAUGAAGGAGAGCUUGCUCUCCGGAUUAGUGGCGAACGGGUGAGUAACACGUGACUAACCUGCCCCUUUCUCUGGGAUAACGCUACGAAAGGAGUGCUAAUACCGGAUACGAACUCUGAACACAUGUUCGGAGUUGGAAAGUUUUUCGGUUAGGGAUGGAGUCGCGGCCUAUCAGCUUGUUGGUGAGGUAACGGCUCACCAAGGAGACGACGGGUAGCCGGCCUGAGAGGUCGACCGGCCACACUGGGACUGAGACACGGCCCAGACUCCUACGGGAGGCAGCAGUGGGGAAUAUUGCACAAUGGGCGAAAGCCUGAUGCAGCGACGCCGCGUGAGGGAUGAAGGUCUUCGGAUUGUAAACCUCUUUCAGUAGGGACGAAGCGAAAGUGACGGUACCUAAAGAAGAAGCACCGGCUAACUACGUGCCAGCCGCCGCCGUAA